rnacentral:rRNA from 1 species
GCAAGUCAACGUAAUUUGAUAUUUAAUAAUUUACUUUAUUUAUUUAUAUUUUUAUUUUUAUGGAAAAUAAUUGAUUGUUAUUGUAUUUAUUUAUGAAAUAAUUUUAUUAGUUAUAGUUUAUUUGUACCUUGAGGGGUUAUUGAAAUAUAAAUUAUAUUUUUAAAAGUUGAUUUAUUUUAUUGUACCUUGUGUAUCAGGGUUUAUUAAAGAUAAAAUAUUUAUUUUAUUAUUCCCGAUUUUAAGAGAGCUAUAUUAUUAUGUUAGUUAAUGUAAAAUAAUUAUUUAGAAUGAUUUUAUAGUAGUGAAAUGUUAAUCGUUCUUGAAGAUAUCUGGUUUUUUAAGAAAUGAAUUUAAUUCAGGUAUUUAUUGAAUAUAAUUUUAGUUAUUAAUUAAUAUUGAAUUUUUUACUAAUACUUUUGGGGACAAGCUUUGAAGUAUAAUUUAAUAAAUUUUUAUUUGUGGUAAGUUAAAUGAAUUUAGAAGUGAUUAUUAAUUAGAGGAUGUUAAAAUUUUACUUAUUUAUUUAAUCAUUUUUAUUUAAUUUUUAUUUUUUUAUUAAAAAUAAUUAUUUAAUUAUGAAAUAAUUUAUAUUAUGAUAAAAUUAGUAUAAUUGUUAUUAAUAUUAUUUAUUAUGAUUUUUAUUAAAUUAUAAGGAAUUAGGCAAAUAUUAUGUUCGCCUGUUUAACAAAAACAUCUCUUUUCGAUUAUUUGAAAAGUAUAACCUGCCCACUGAAUUUUUUUGAAGGGCCGCGGUAAUUUGACCGUGCAAAGGUAGCAUAAUCAUUAGUCUCUUAAUUAGAGGCUGGAAUGAAUGGUUGGACGAAAUAUAAACUGUCUUAUGAUUUUACUUAGAAUUUAAUUAUUAAGUAAAAAAGCUUAAAUUUAAUUAUGGGACGAGAAGACCCUAUAGAGUUUAAUAGUUAUUCUUAUUUUAUUUGUUUGUUUAUGUAAUUAUAAUUUUAAUUUAUUUUGUUGGGGUGAUGAGAAGAUAAUAGUAACUCUUUUUAUUGUUUAAUAUUAAUGUAUAAAUUAUUGAUCCAUUGAUAGUGAUUAUAAGACUAAAUUACCUUAGGGAUAACAGCGUAAUCUUUUUUGAGAGUUCAUAUCGACAAGAAGGGUUGCGACCUCGAUGUUGGAUUAAGAUAAACAUUAGGUGUAGAAGUUUAAAUUGUUAGGUCUGUUCGACCUUUAAAAUCUUACAUGAUCUGAGUUCAAACCGGCGUGAGCCAGGUUGGUUUCUAUCUAUAAUUUAUUAUAAUAUUUUAGUACGAAAGGACCAAAUAUUUGAAAUAAUUUCGUUUAUGUUGAUUAUUAUUAAUUGACUAUUUUGGCAGAUAAGUGCAGCGGAUUUAGAAUCUGUGUAUAUAGAUUA